rnacentral:rRNA from 1 species
AACGCUGGCGGCGUGUCCUAACACAUGCAAGCUCGAGCGGGUGCCAGUCUGUAGCAAUACAGAUGAAGCGCUAGCGGCAGACGGGUGAGUAACACGUAGUCAACCUACCUUUCCAUCCGGGAUAACUAACCGAAAGGUUAGCUAAUACCUGAUACGAUCGUCGAGCGGCAUCGCUUGACGCUGAAAGCAGUAAUGCGCGGAUCGAGGGGGCUGCGGCCCAUUAGCUAGUUGGUGAGGUAACGGCCCACCAAGGCUACGAUGGGUAGCUGGUCUGAGAGGACGACCAGCCACACUGGGACUGAGACACGGCCCAGACUCCUACGGGAGGCAGCAGUGAGGAAUUUUCCGCAAUGGGCGAAAGCCUGACGGAGCGACGCCGCGUGCACGAGGAAGGUCUUCGGAUCGUAAAGUGCUGUCGAGGGGGGCGAUUAUGACGGUACCCCUGGAGGAAGCCCCGGCUAACUACGUGCCAGCCGCCG